UUGGAGUCCUAAAAGUCUCCCCCUGCCAUGGAACUAUGACGAGGAGGCCCAACUGAACCCCCUUCUUUGCGCAGGUUUGGUAUC
rnacentral:rRNA from 1 species